UACGUAGGUGGCAAGCGUUGUCCGGAAUCAUUGGGCGUAAAGAGCGUGUAGGCGGCCACUUAAGUCCUGCGUGAAAUCUUGCGGCUCAACCGCAAGCGGUCGUGGGAAACUGGGUGGCUAGAGUGCGGGAGAGGAGAGUGGAAUUCCUGGUGUAGCGGUGGAAUGCGCAGAUAUCAGGAAGAACACCCGUGGCGAAGGCGGCUCUCUGGAACGCAACUGACGCUGAGACGCGAAAGCGUGGGGAGCGAACAGG
rnacentral:rRNA from 1 species